UCUGAAAGACCACUACAUGUUAAUUUUAUGUAUAUUCUUACUACUUUCAUUCAGUUUGUUUCUUUGAAAGACAAUCUUUACUUGGACUUGGAUGUAAAUCCUACUCUACUUCUCACUAGCUAUGUGGCUUUGAGCAAAUUAUAAAAUUGCCCUCUGGGGGCUGGGGAUAUGGCCUAAUGGCAAGAGUGCCUGCCUCGUAUACAU